CCGCGAGCCGCGUGUUGCUGCAGCGCGCCGGCGCCGGAGUACAGCCGCACCAGGAAGUGAUCAGCGAGGGCGGCUGCCACCAGAGGCCGCACCUGACGCACUGCCGGCAUCAUCAGCUGAAUACUCAUUCGCAGAGUUCGUUGUGCGAUGUGCAACGGACCAGGUCAGAGCUGAGCCGCGCGCCGCGCGCCGUGCGUCUAGUGGGGAUGGCGAGUGCAGGCAGGCGACUGGAAUGCAGCUUGCUGCUCUUCUGGUGCUGGCCGUGGCUCGCUCGCUAGUUUCUAUCAGUCGAGAUCGUCGUUUAGAGUCGUAACCUGCCGCCGGGACGUCGGGAUGCCGGACGCCGGACGCCGGACGCCGAAGCCCGGGACGCCCCUCUCACGCCACGCUUCUUUUGUACAUACAUUCCCGACAUACACAUAAAAAUUAUUUUAAUACGAUUUUAUUGAUCUUUAAAAGCGAGGCGGGCGCCUGCAAUGAAUGAAUAACUACUACUUUGUAUAAAUUGUACUAAAAAUGAAUAAUUUUAUAAGUGUAAUAAUCUGGUCAACAAUUAGACGAAGUGGAUUUUAUGCAAGAAGAUGAUCGUAUGUUUAUUAUAGAUAUACAUUAACAACACAUCACGCGGCGCGAUUGCACAGUACAGUCCCCGCUCUGUCCCGAUGCAUCUGAAAUUAAAAAAAAAAUUAUAAUAUUAUACGAAGUCAAACAAAAUCAUAUUAAAGCCCAAACUAACAAGACAUGUGUGCAAUGGAAUGUUUCAUUAUCAAUAAAAUAGCAAUCGAGUCAGAGUGAAACAUUCGGCGUGUUUGAAUGAUGAUGUCGACGAUGGGACGGCGACCUCGUGCUCUGUGGCGUGUGAGGUGUGAGGCGGUGCGGUGCGGUG